rnacentral:rRNA from 1 species
CCAUGCCGCGUGAGUGAAGAAGGCCUUCGGGUUGUAAAGCUCUUUUGUCCGGAAAGAAAAGCCUUCGGUUAAUACCCGGGGGUUCUGACGGUACCGGAAGAAUAAGCACCGGCUAACUUCGUGCCAGCAGCCGCGGUAAUACGAAGGGUGCAAGCGUUACUCGGAAUUACUGGGCGUAAAGCGUGCGUAGGUGGUUCGUUAAGUCUGAUGUGAAAGCCCUGGGCUCAACCUGGGAAUGGCAUUGGAAACUGGCGACCUAGAGUGCGGUAGAGGGUAGUGGAAUUCCCGGUGUAGCAGUGAAAUGCGUAGAGAUCGGGAGGAACAUCUGUGGCGAAGGCGACUGCCUGGACCAGCACUGACACUGAGGCACGAAAGCGUGGGGAGCAAACAGGAUUAGAUACCCUGGUAGUCCACGCCCUAAACGAUGCGAACUGGAUGUUGGGUGCGACUAGGCACUCAGUAUCGAGGCUAACGCGUUAAGUUCGCCGCCUGGGGAGUACGGUCGCAAGACUG